GAUGAACGCUGGCGGCGUGCCUAAUACAUGCAAGUCGAGCGAACAGACGAGGAGCUUGCUCCUCUGACGUUAGCGGCGGACGGGUGAGUAACACGUGGAUAACCUACCUAUAAGACUGGGAUAACUUCGGGAAACCGGAGCUAAUACCGGAUAAUAUAUUGAACCGCAUGGUUCAAUAGUGAAAGACGGUUUUGCUGUCACUUCUAGAUGGAUCCGCGCCGCAUUAGCUAGUUGGUAAGGUAACGGCUUACCAAGGCAACGAUGCGUAGCCGACCUGAGAGGGUGAUCGGCCACACUGGAACUGAGACACGGUCCAGACUCCUACGGGAGGCAGCAGUAGGGAAUCUUCCGCAAUGGGCGAAAGCCUGACGGAGCAACGCCGCGUGAGUGAUGAAGGUCUUCGGAGCGUAAAACUCUGUUAUUAGGUAAGAACAAAUGUGUAAGUAACUAUGCACGUCUUGACGGUACCUAAUCAGAAGGCCACGGCUAACUACGUG
rnacentral:rRNA from 1 species